rnacentral:rRNA from 1 species
GUAGGGUGCGAGCGUUAAUCGGAAUUACUGGGCGUAAAGCGUGCGCAGGCGGUUCGUUGUGUCGGUGGUGAAAUCCCCGGGCUUAACCUGGGAAUGGCCAUGGAAACUGGCGAACUGGAGUGCGGCAGAGGGGGGUGGAAUUCCGCGUGUAGCAGUGAAAUGCGUAGAGAUGCGGAGGAACACCGAUGGCGAAGGCAGCCCCCUGGGCUAGCACUGACGCUCAGGCACGAAAGCGUGGGGAGCAAACAGGAUUAGAUACCCUGGUAGUCCACGCCCUAAACCAUGUCAACUGGGUGUUCGGGAAGCGAUUUCUGAGUACCGUAGCUAACGCGUGAAGUUGACCGCCUGGGGAGUACGGCCGCAAGACUG